UUUUAAUUUUGUUUAUUUUCUUGCUUUUUGCAACCGGGUGACCGCGUUUUCUGCGCUACAGACUGCGUUUUUCUGACUCCUUUGUUUGAUAUUGUGUCGUAUCGUCGUAUUUAUGUAGUUAUUAGGAACGGCAAGCCUACGUUGUUGCGUCCUUUACCUGAAUAUCGUGACCGAAUCGAGUGUCGUCGAUUUGAAUCGUGUCUUGCGAACCAUCGUCGAACAAAAGGUCAUGGCUGGUGGCGGUUCAUCAGCGUUUGUUUUGAAACUGAUGGGUACCACAAGGCAUGAAAGAGGUGACUUGCAGCAGCAAGACACCGCAAGCCUUCGCAGCAACUGGCUAGCCAGUGCUGCUCUGUUCUGAACUGUACUGCGUGUCAUGCAGAGGGUUUGUGCAAGCUCUCUGGGCGGCGACGCUAGCCACGGAGCUGGCCUCCCUCCCUUCCGUCAGCUGCAAUAUACUACAAGCACUGGGCUACAGCUGCAGCUAGCCCAUGGGUACCGUUCUGCGUCCUGUACUGCAUCUAGUUCGAAACGCCAUGUGAAAGGCAGGUACCGGGGACCAUGACAUCAAUGAGCUGGCUUUCACCUUGUCCAAGGCAGCAGCGGAACACUACGGGCGGGACCCUGGAUCACUGCACCGUGGAUGCCAUUCUGUACCCUGCACGGCACUGCGUGUGGCUUAAGUGGCCAAGCAGAGGGUCAUUGCAUGACUUUUAUGAGGCGCCGCUAGCCAUUGUUUCAAACCGUCCUGAAUCACGGACCGAGCCUUGCAAGACCUCACUCUUAUGCCCUCUCCUUUUUGGUAGAUCGGGUCUUGCCAUCUUCCCCUCUCGUGGCUCUCUGUCUUAAAUAAAUAGUUUGUUUUUCUGA